rnacentral:lncRNA from 1 species
CAUCUGAUACAUGGAUUAUUCUUUUCUUAUUUGGCUUGCUUAAGGCUUAAUCCAAAGGAGGGAAUUCUUGUUUGACUUAUGUCAUAAAGUUUACUAUUUCUUGGUUAGAUCUUUCCUCCCUAGCUUUUACUCUAGGUUCUAGGAUAGUCUCUCCAUCUUCUCCCUUUCUUUAAUUUUCAAAAUAUUCUCUCUUCUUUUCAAAAUCUUUUUUUUUUUUUUAACUUGAACUACUUUCUCAAUAAACCUUGACUUUUGUCAAGUGUUUUUCAGAAUCUUUUUCUCAAUAAAUGGUAAUACAUCUUAAGCAUAUUCAAACA